rnacentral:rRNA from 1 species
UACGUAGGGUGCGAGCGUUGUCCGGAAUUAUUGGGCGUAAAGAGCUUGUAGGCGGUCUGUCGCGUCUGCUGUGAAAAUCCGGGGCUCAACCCCGGACUUGCAGUGGGUACGGGCAGACUAGAGUGUGGUAGGGGAGACCGGAAUUCCUGGUGUAGCGGUGAAAUGCGCAGAUAUCAGGAGGAACACCGAUGGCGAAGGCGGGUCUCUGGGCCGAUACUGACGCUGAGGAGCGAAAGCGUGGGGAGCGAACAGG